rnacentral:rRNA from 1 species
UACAGAGGGGGCAAGCGUCGUUCGGAAUUACUGGGCGUAAAGGGCGCGUAGGCGGCCUGUUAAGUCGAACGUGAAAUCCCCGGGCUCAACCCGGGAACUGCGUCCGAGACUGGCAGGCUCGAAUCCGGGAGAGGGAUGUGGAAUUCCAGGUGUAGCGGUGAAAUGCGUAGAUAUCUGGAGGAACACCGGUGGCGAAGGCGGCAUCCUGGACCGGUAUUGACGCUGAGGCGCGAAAGCCAGGGGAGCAAACGGG